UACGUAGGUGGCAAGCGUUGUCCGGAUUUAUUGGGUUUAAAGGGUGCGUAGGUGGCCCUGUAAGUCAGUGGUGAAAUAUCUCAGCUUAACUGAGAGGGUGCCAUUGAUACUGCAGGGCUUGAGUACAGAUGAGGUAGGCGGAAUUGACGGUGUAGCGGUGAAAUGCAUAGAUAUCGUCAAGAACACCGAUAGCGAAGGCAGCUUACCAAGCUGUAACCGACACUGAGGCACGAAAGUGUGGGGAUCAAACAGG
rnacentral:rRNA from 1 species